GGCUCUUUGAUGUUCCCCAGAUACAUCUACUAUGGUGAUGCCCUGCUGUCUCCGAAGGACAUCGAUGCCAUCCAGGCCAUCUAUGGACCUUCCAAAAAUCCCAUCCAGCCGAAAGAACUGUGAAUCCCACGAGCCUGUGAUAGCAAGUUAACAUUUGAUGCUGUCGCCAAAAUUCGUGGAGAAUCAUUCUUCUUUAAAACAUGUAAAAA